UUGACAUACUAAGAACUUUCCAGAGAUGGAUUGGUGCCUUCGGGAACUUAGAUACAGGUGCUGCAUGGCUGUCGUCAGCUCGUGUCGUGAGAUGUUGGGUUAAGUCCGCAACGAGCGCGACCCUUUUCCUUAUUUGCCAGCGGGUAAUGCCGGGAACUUUAAGGAUACUGCCAGUGACAAACUGGAGGAAGGCGGGGACGACGUCAAGUCAUCAUGGCCCUUACGGCCAGGGCUACACACGUGCUACAAUGGUCGGUACAAAGGGUUGCUACCUCGCGAGAGGAUGCUAAUCUCAAAAAGCCGAUCGUAGUCCGGAUCGCAGUCUGCAACUCGACUGCGUGAAGUCGGAAUCGCUAGUAAUCGCGGAUCAGAAUGCCGCGGUGAAUACGUUCCCGGGCCUUGUACACACCGCCCGUCACACCAUGGGAGUUUGUUGCACCAGAAGUAGGUAGUCUAACCGCAAGGAGGACGCUUACCACGGUGUGGCCGAUGACUGGGGUGAAGUCGUAACAAGGUAAGCGUAGAUGA
rnacentral:rRNA from 1 species